UAGCAAUAUAUUUGGUUGCCAAAUGACUACAAAAAUCAGAACUAAAUAGUUAAGUUUUAUCCUGAAUUUGUAUCAUUGCAGCAUGUAUAGUUCUAACACAAUUUGAAUCUAACGUGAAGAACGAUGACAUGUAACCAAUGACAAAGUUAAGAGGAGUGACUUGGAGGAGCCCCGGCUGCGAUGUGAAGACAGUAAUUAUACCCUGCAGCAUCCACAAAAGACAGCUGGUGUUUCAAGCGUGGAGUAUAUCGUUUCUGUUGUUGAGCGGAUUUGAACACCGACCGUGUUUGGUAAACACAUUUCUGGACCUCCAAAUCUUGUUCAAGUGACCGGUAUCUGCAUCAGUUGGACUGGGUGGUCAGACUGUGAUCUUACACAACCUGAGCAGAUACUUUGUAUUGAGGACAGCCGGGUGAUGAUACAAAGUACAUUACCACAAUGGGGUCAGUUACGGACACCCUUCCUUGUGGCUGCACAGCGUGAGGGGAUUUUUGUUUUCUUUCAGGCUUGAAAGCUGAAGGUAAUACAGCCAACUCUUCAAAACUGUGCUGUAUGUAAAUGUAUGUCUGAG
ensembl:lncRNA